GAUGAACGCUAGCUACAGGCUUAACACAUGCAAGUCGAGGGGCAGCAUGGGGGUUGCUUGCAAUCCCCGAUGGCGACCGGCGCACGGGUGAGUAACGCGUAUUCAACUUGCCCUUCACCACGGGUUAACCCGGCGAAAGUAGGCCUAAAACCGAAUGUUGUCCAUUGAGGGCAUACGAGUUGGUCGGACGGCUUGGGGGUGAGGGAGGGGGAUGCGUCCGAUUAGGUGGACGGUGGGGUAACGGCCCACCGUGGCUACGAUCGGUAGGGGUUCUGAGAGGAAGGUCCACCAGACUGGAACUGAGACACGGUCCAGACUGCUACGGGAGGCAGCAGUAAGGAAUAUUGGUGAAGGGACGUAAGCCUGAACCAACCAAGUAGGGUGCAGGAGCACUGCGGUAUGGGUGGUAAUCUGCUGUUAUGCAAGGGUAGAGUGGUCCUCGUGUGGGCUUUUGCAGGUACCGCAUGAAUAAGCACCGGCUAAUUCCGUG
rnacentral:rRNA from 1 species